CACACCACACCACCCCCAGUGAAAUCCUGGCACCCAGAGAGCGCUCCUUUCAGCCAGAGAUCCCAGAACCAGCCGCUGUCCCCUGGCAAAAGAGGCCCAUGGCUGAGCCCUGGGCAAGUGUCUGCAGACAUCGUACCCCUCCUCCCCUAUUAGUUUUCCUUACCAACAGAAACCAUUUCCCUCUGCCACCAAAAGUAGGUUGCAUCCAAAAGUUUCUCACAAGCUUAAAAAAGAAAGGCGAAAAAUUGACAACUGUUACACAGAAGAGCCCACAAAUCCGCAGCAGCACCAGGGGUGAAGAAGCAGCGACAGACCCAGCUCUUGAAUGUGAUUUGAGGGAAGGCUCAACAACCACACACCCUGGCUGCAUCGCCAAUAUCAAUAUUUUAAAACUAAAUACAAAAGAGACAGAUGACCUCCUGACCCCAGGAAACAGGCCUGCAAAACUGCAAGUAUCCACCACACCAUGCCCAGGGACCCUUCCUUCUUCCAAAUGAACCACAAAAAUCAUACAUGUGUAGCCCAGAAAACACAGUUUUAUAUCCACAAGCAGGAACACCAAAAAUCCACUCAGAAGCACAGACAUAAACAACCAACAAGUACUGAAAUUGCCUGCACUUGAUGGGAAUUGCAAAAUCAUGCCCAGCUCUCUCAGCCCUUAAACUACUACUGUCAAAUUAGGGUAGCAAUUUUUCCCUCCUAGAAAAUUCACAACUGGUUAAGCUUCCCCACCCCACCCCCCCAUUGCCAGUGCUUUGCCUUUCACUGAAAUGAAUAAAUAACCGUGGACUUUUCUUCCCUCCUCUGGGAGCUGUUUGGUGUCCCCUGAGGACAAAACUAAAUGAGAAAAAUGACGCUGUUAAUAAUGUCGCUGCUGAAAUGCCUGUACUCGACUGUUAAAAAAAAAAAAAAAAUACUAUCCCACUAAGUGUGCUUACAUUUCGGGCACAUUUACAAGCUA